AGAGUUUGAUCAUGGCUCAGAUUGAACGCUGGCGGCAUGCUUUACACAUGCAAGUCGAACGGGCUGUCGGGGCAACCCGGCAGUCAGUGGCGAACGGGUGAGUAAUGCAUCGGAACGUGUCCCGUAGUGGGGGAUAACCCGGCGAAAGCCGGACUAAUACCGCAUAUGCUCUACGGAGGAAAGCGGGGGACCUGAAAGGGCCUCGUGCUAUGGGAGCGGCCGAUGUCCGAUUAGCUUGUUGGUGGGGUAAUGGCCUACCAAGGCGACGAUCGGUAGCUGGUCUGAGAGGAUGAUCAGCCACACUGGGACUGAGACACGGCCCAGACUCCUACGGGAGGCAGCAGUGGGGAAUUUUGGACAAUGGGGGCAACCCUGAUCCAGCCAUGCCGCGUGCGGGAAGAAGGCCUUCGGGUUGUAAACCGCUUUUAGCCGGAAAGAAAAGGCACAGGCCAAUACCCUGUGUUCUUGACGGUACCGGCGGAAUAAGCACCGGCUAACUACGUGCCAGCAGCCGCGGUAAUACGUAGGGUGCGAGCGUUAAUCGGAAUUACUGGGCGUAAAGCGUGCGUAGGCGGUCCGCUGUGUCCCGUGUGAAAGCCCCGGGCUCAACCUGGGAAUUGCAUGGGAAACUGGCGGGCUUGAGUGCGGCAGAGGGGGGUGGAAUUCCGCGUGUAGCAGUGAAAUGCGUAGAGAUGCGGAG
rnacentral:rRNA from 1 species